rnacentral:lncRNA from 1 species
AUAAUGCCCACGUGUCCAGGACAGGGCUAGGUGGAGAUAAUUAAAUCAUGGGGGUGGUUAUCCCAUACUGUUCUCAUUGUAGUGAAUAAGUUUCACAAGAUCUGAUGGUAUUACAAUGAGAGUACCCCUGCACAAGCUCUCUUGCCUUCCACCAUGUAAGACGUGACUUUGCUCCUCAUUUGUCUUCUACCAUUACUGUGAGGUCUUUCCAGCCAUGUGCAACUGGGAUGGCUUUGCCAGGAAAAGCCCUUCAAUAGCAGCCUGGCCAAAGAUUCUGGGCAAAUAAGUUGGCUGGGUCCAUGGGCAAUCAAGAUUCUGGGACCUGCAAUCAAACUUGCUGCUGGCGUUUGUAAGUGUGCCUUCUACCAGGGGCUAUGGGCUGGCUGUGAGAUACACAGGCCUCUACCAGCAAGAAGUGGGCUGCAAAAGCUGGAGAGUUCUGUAAUGCCCAAUAUGGCCACAGAAUGAGGAAGAACUUCCUAAAGGACUGAAUCAGAAGUCACAGAAAACAAUGGCUACCAGCGGGAUGUUACACUCGGUCUACUGACUCACAUGCAUCUUCUCCAAGAACACCCUCACAGACACACCUGGAGAAGCUCAAGCAUUCUAAUCAAAAUGAAAACCACCUGGAAUUCUCUUUCAGCAGAAGAGGAAUGGGUUCCAUUCCUAUUGAAGCAUUGAGAAUAAAUAACCCUUUACCAGCUACCUGAGUAUUCCUUAAUUCAGUCAAGUUUCAUCCAAAAUCAACUGUUGCAACUUAUUCUGAAAUGUUCAACUAGCUUUACAUUCUUUAGAUUAGGUCCUGCUUGUUCAUGAUAUAUUGUACUUUUGUAUAGAGCUAGAUUUUAUUUAAAAUACUGUGAAGUUUGUUUGAGGCUGAGGUGGGAGAAUCAAUGAGCCCAGGAGGUUGAGGGUGUAGUGAGCCGUGAUUGUGCCACUGUGCUAUCCCCUGGUAACAGAGUGAGACCCUGUCUCAAAUACAUAAAUAAACAAACAAACAAAUAAAUAAAUAAAUAAAUAAAAUUUCUACAUUGUAGCAAAAAAACAAAUAGAAAUUGAAAUCCAAAAUUGUAUAUACAAUUUAAAUUUGAAUUAAAAAGCACAAAGUGCUUACAAAUUUUAAUAAUUUUUGUGUAAGACUAGCACACUAAAAAUUAUGAAAUAAUACUGAAAGGGUGAUAUAAAUAAAUGCAGAGAUUUAUGGUGUUUAUGGAUUGAAAGACUCAAUAUCAUUAAGUUGUUCAUUCUCAAGUCAAUCUGUAGAUUCAAGGUAAGCUUAAUUAAAAUCUCAAGAAAAUUUUUGUUGUUCUUGUCUUGUUACAGUUCUUGUUGCUGAAAAUGAGAAAAGACAAAAGCUUGGCAGAAGUUAUUGAUUAUAUUUAAAUCUAUGGUUAAAUUUACAUAAGAAAAGAUUAAAUGGUGGCAUCAUCAAGAUAGCAGAGUAGGUGAUACCAGGCUUUGUCUUCACCACAAAAAAAGAGAGACAGCUGUUCAAAAACCAAAAUAUCCCCAAGAAAGCUCUAGGGCCUGUAGGAUACAGUAAAUUCCUCUUCAAAGAUUUUAGCCUGUUAACUUCCUUUAACAUUCAAGAGGGGUAAAAUCGUUAAGUACAAUGAGUUCUGAAUUCCUCUUCAGAAAACUAAUGUGUCAGUAUGUUUUGCUUCCCUGUUCUUUGCUCUCCAUUUUAAAGUUUAACUUCCUCGUUCUUAGGCCUCCUUGCCCUUACUUUCAGUAAACAACACCCUGCUAGCCUCUAUCACCUGCGCUGUCCUUAGUCAUCCUUAGUCACCUGCUCUGUAACCGUCCUUCCCACUGAAACUACUCAUCCCACCACUCUGGCUCGUACCCCUGCCGUCUUUGAAACAGCCAAUCUGAAUUAGCUUAGACUGUGCAGUCCAACCCUAGCCAAUAGGGGAAAGAAACAGCAGUAGGGAUUAACUGCUUUAGGGAUAAGAAUCCCUUCCCCUCCCUUGUCCAGUGUGCUCUCCCCAUUGCUCCAUCUGCGAGACACACCCUUCUAUAGAAGUAAAUUUGCCGCCGGGCAUGGUGGCUCACGCCUGUAAUCCCAGAACUUUGGGAGGCGGAGGCGGCCGGAUCACAUG